GCCUUUGUGGUGUAGUGGUCAGCACGAUGGGCGCGUAUUCCAGAGGUCCGUGGUUCGAGUCCCGACGAAGGCA
rfam:Stegodyphus mimosarum contig20352, whole genome shotgun sequence.